rnacentral:rRNA from 1 species
CGCUGGCGGCAUGCCUAAUACAUGCAAGUCGAACGAUGACGUCACUGCUUGCAGUGAUUGAUUAGUGGCGAACGGGUGAGUAACACGUGAGGAACUUGCCCAUGAGCGGGGGACAACAUUCGGAAACGGAUGCUAAUACCCCAUAGGUGGAUUGGUCGCAUGACUAAUUCAUUAAAGGUGGCUCUGCUACCACUCAUGGAUAGCCUCGCGGCGUAUUAGCUAGUUGGUAAGGUAAUGGCUUACCAAGGCAGUGAUACGUAGCCGACUUGAGAGGGUGAUCGGCCACACUGGGACUGAGACACGGCCCAGACUCCUACGGGAGGCAGCAGUAGGGAAUCUUCCACAAUGGGUGCAAACCUGAUGGAGCAAUGCCGCGUGAGUGAAGAAGGUCUUCGGAUCGUAAAGCUCUGUUGUUAGAGAAGAACACGUGCUAGGUAACUACUAGCGCCUUGACGGUAUCUAACCAGAAAGUCACGGCUAACUACGUGCCAGCAGCCGCGGUAAUACGUAGGUGACAAGCGUUGUCCGGAUUUAUUGGGCGUAAAGGGAGCGCAGGCGGUCUGUUUAGUCUAAUGUGAAAGCCCACGGCUUAACCGUGGAACGGCAUUGGAAACUGACAGACUUGAAUGUAGAAGAGGAAAAUGGAAUUCCAAGUGUAGCGGUGGAAUGCGUAGAUAUUUGGAGGAACACCAGUGGCGAAGGCGAUUUUCUGGUCUAACAUUGACGCUGAGGCUCGAAAGCGUGGGGAGCGAACAGGA